CAUCAACAAAGACAAUCGUGGAUUGCUAAAUGAUAUGCACACCAUGGGUUCUAAGUCAUAUGCAUCAUUACGUUAUAAGCUGCAACAAGAGGAUACUAAUAAGCAAGAACCUUCUCAAGGUAAGGUGUACAAAGAAUCAAGGAGAAGAAUUCCCAGAAAAACAUAUUCCACUAGCUAUGAGGAAAUUACAUAAAAUAUUGCCAAGAUGGAUGCUCUAGAUUACAUCCAAAAUGAAGAAGGCAACUCUAAGGAUCCUUACUUUGAAGUCAUAAAGAAUCCCAAGCGCAAUAGUCGAUUACGCCUUUAUGGGAAAGGUGUGACGAAGAAUAGUUUUAAAAAAAGAAACACAAACGCGGGAUUCAUAUUUCCUCAGGAAUUCAAACAAAGUAUGUGGACACAAUUGGCGGAGGAGAUUGCACCGAGCAUGGCAUCAAUGAUUCUAUCUCAGAUUCGAGAAGCUAAUCCAGAAUUAAAUAUUGUCAUUCCUAAUUUUCAGAUUACGCCAGCACCAAGGGAUCAAUCUAGUGCUCCAGAUAAUACCAAUGAACCAAAUGGCCAAUCAUCUAUUGGGACACACUCUUUACAUCAGGUAAUAUCACAUUCUAAAACAACAUUUUUUGUGAGUUUUUUCCCCACCUCACUCACUUCCUUUUAAGCUAAUUUUAAUUUUUAUAUAGGCAGUUAGCUCUACUUAGAAGUAUUACAAGUAGUUUAUAUCUCUGCUUGCUUCCUUUCCUAAUUGUUUGGGCCUUCUAUUACUCCCACUUUCUUGGAUUUUCUGUGCACCCCUUAAUGUGACAGUCUAAAAAUUAUACAAUCUGCUUGGUUUCUGAGA